GUGAGUGUAGCUCAACUGGUUAGAGCAUCGGACUGUGGAUCCGAAGGUUGGGGGUUCGAGACCCCUCACUCACCCCA
rnacentral:tRNA from 1 species